AGGGGCGUGCCCAUCUGAGCUCCACCCCCCCCACCUCCGCCCUCCCGCGGCAGCUCCUGGAGGCCCCUCUUUCAUUGACGGAAGCCAGGCUGCAGGAAGAGGGACCUGCAUAGCCAGACCUGGGGCCAGUGGACUCAUCCCAUGACCAGGAGAUAAGGGACCAAUUCUGCAAGGAGUCAGAUGGCUGAGACAAAGUCUGAGAGCCCCACUUUGAACAAGUUGUCUGAGAUGGACACAAGCAGAAUAUUCCUGAUGUCCAGGUAAGAAUGGAUAUGAGUUCAAGACCAUCACCGUUUGCCUCCAGCGCCAAGGGCCAGGAAGCUGGGGUGGCCACCAGGAACCGAGAAAGAGCCCAGUUAGAGGCUGGGAGAACGCUCCAGAAGGCAGCUUUCCACAGGAAGAAGCCUGGACGGGGGCCGGGGAGGCAGGGCAGGCAGGGUGGCCCCAGAUGUGGCAAACUUCGCCCAUUAGGACAGAGCGGGAGGCCCACGGUUGGCUGGGGAGUGCGGAUGCUCUCCACCCUGCCCUGGGGAGGAAGGAAUCCGAGCUGGGAGUCUGGCGCCUGCCGGAAAGCGGGGCCAGGGUAUGAACAAGACCGAAAGGGAGAUGGCAGGAAGCCGGGAAGAGCGAGUGGGGGUGGAGA